UCUAAAACAGAUUGGGAGUGCUAAAAUUGGAAUGAUAAAUAGAUGAUUAAUAUGGCCUCUGCACAAGGAUGAUGUGCAAAUUUGUGAAGCAUUCCAUAUUAUU
ensembl:snRNA U6 U6 spliceosomal RNA